rnacentral:rRNA from 1 species
UACAGAGGGUGCGAGCGUUAAUCGGAAUUACUGGGCGUAAAGCGCGCGUAGGCGGCUUUGUAAGUCGGUUGUGAAAUCCCCGGGCUUAACCUGGGAACUGCAUCCGAGACUGCAUGGCUAGAGUAUGGGAGAGGGAAGUGGAAUUUCAGGUGUAGCGGUGAAAUGCGUAGAUAUCUGAAGGAACAUCAGUGGCGAAAGCGACUUCCUGGACCAAUACUGACGCUCAUGUGCGAAAGCGUGGGGAGCAGACAGG